ACAAUUCAUAAAAUUGGAAUUUAAAAUGUGGUGCCAAAAAUGCCAUGGGGGCCGUGUGAAUUAAAAAGGGGUCCCACACAUUGUGUGACCAAUUUUAAUUGGUCCAACACAUUGUGUGGACCCAAGGCAAUGUGGAUAUUUUGUGAACCACUUAAAAGAUGAAGACCAAGUCUUCAUUCCUCAUUUAUUCACUUCAUCACUUAGCACAAAACAAGAAAAUAGAGAGUUCCCAACCCCCACUGUUUUCGGCCCAACCUUAGGAAAACCAAAUCAAAUUCUAGCUUCCCAAAAAUUAUUUCCUUGGUGUUAACCCACUAUAUUGAGGUCCCUAAGUAGCGUGGAAGAGUUGUUCGGGUCAUCCAACCAUUAGUUGUACCCAUUUGCAAACCCUAACUAUUUGGUGGAUUGAAGAAGAAAGAUCGUGGGCAGCCCGAAUCAUAGUUUGGACUUAGCUUGAGUUGGAUCAUAUUGGAGAGCGUUUGAGGUACGGACGCACAGCCUGGUGAUCCACCUGUUUAGGACACCCUUUCUGCUAUUCGGAGUGCUCCUCUCUUUCCGGAGCUUAUACUUUUGGUAUAUAUAUUUUUAUUAGUGCAUUUGUAUAUAUUCGUUCAUGGGUACGGCGGGGCCCUGUCCUGUCAUAUGAUUUUGUCGGUCUGUUUAGAGGUCUGUGGACAUGUUUGUGGGUUAGGGUCUUUCUGUAUGGAUGUAUGUACAUGUCGUUUGGGCGAUCCCAUACGCCGAGGCGGCCGGUCCGCAUAUGUUGUUUGGGCGAUCCUAUACGCCGAGGCGGCCGGUACGCAUAUGUUUAUAUAUUGCUUGGUUAGCCCUGUGUGGCUUUUGUUGGUAUUUUCUGCGUGCAAGGUAUAUUGGAUAGUCCGUAAAACAAAGGAAACUCUGCCGAAAUUUUUCUGGAAAUUACCUAAAUUUGAAAGAAAGCCUUGUCGGCUU